UCCCUAGUGGCUCAGAGGUUAAAGCGUCUGCCUGGAAUGUGGAUUGACCUGGGUUCAAUCCCUGGGUUGGGAA
rnacentral:tRNA from 1 species